rnacentral:rRNA from 1 species
UACGUAGGGUCCGAGCGUUGUCCGGAAUUAUUGGGCGUAAAGGGCUCGUAGGCGGUUUGUCGCGUCGGGAGUGAAAACACGGGGCUUAACCCCGUGCCUGCUUCCGAUACGGGCAGACUAGAGGUAUGCAGGGGAGAACGGAAUUCCUGGUGUAGCGGUGAAAUGCGCAGAUAUCAGGAGGAACACCGGUGGCGAAGGCGGUUCUCUGGGCAUUACCUGACGCUGAGGAGCGAAAGGGUGGGGAGCGAACAGG